GAGGUACUCCCUCCGUCCGAAAAUACUUGUCAUUAAAAUGGAUAAAAGGGGAUGUAUCUAGACGUAUUUUAGUUCUAGAUACAUCUCUUUUUAUCCAUUUUGAUGACAAGUAUUUUCAGACGGAGGGAGUAGUAA
rnacentral:pre_miRNA from 1 species